GCUCGCCGGGAUAGGCUCCAGCUUUCGCGCAGCCCUUGUGAGGAUAAGCGGCGUGGAUCACGACAUGAGACAAAAAUCCAUUUGAUGCAACGGUGCCUCUCCCUUUCGGUCGCAGGAGUUGUAAAUCUCCUUGACCCGGCGAUAUCGGAAGGCCAGCUUCCUCAUCCAGUCCACCCCGCCGUGGACCCCCGAGCCCAGGCACAGGGAGCCGGCCCCCGCCGGGCUCUGGAAGCCGUCGGUCGCAAAAUUUGUUUGAGAAGGACAGGAAGUGGCGUUUUGAGGAGACAGAAAAAGGCGGGACGCAGUGCGAGGUACAAGUGGUUGUUUGAAGAGAAAGAAAAGUUAAAGGCGGACAUUUAUCGACAUGUGUUCAACGUGUUCGACAAGUCCUGUUGACAGUUCAAUGCCGAUAGUGUGUCGUUUGAGUGGACUACUCAAAUCACGCCGUAACGUGGUGGAGUUAGCCGCUAAUAAAGAGGCUGAGUGGAUGCAUGGAACUUUGCUAGGACGCAAGUGACAAGCUAACGCCAGCUAGCGAGGCCCGUCUUGGACCAUGUGGACGAAGACGGGAAAGGCUAGCGACGAGCAAACGCUAGCGAGGCCUUGCAUAGGAGUACAAGGACAAAGCUUCGCAACGGAUCGGCCUGUCAGGACUUGGAUGAGGCUGGACCAUUGGACACAACCCUCGAGAUGGCGCCAUCUCACCUCCAAGUCGUUGAAGAAGAGUCGCGAGUCGGCCAGAUUGAAGAUCAUCUCCUCCAUCCACAAACCCAGCGAAACCGCUUUGGACGAAUCCUGCGACAAAGCAAUUCCA